AUGCAAUGGAGCUGGAGAGUCAUCUUUUUGGUGGCAGUUGCUGCAAGUGUGCACUCCCAGGUUCAACUGACCCAGUCUGGGGCUGAGGUGAGGAAUCCUGGUACAUCUGUCAAGUUAUCUUGCAAAGCUUCUGGAUACACUUUCACCAGAUACUACAUGCACUGGGUGUUACAGGCCCCUGGAAAAGGCCUGGAAUGGAUGGGAAGGAUUAAUCCUAAAACUAGUAAUACAAAUUAUGCCCAGAAGUUCCAGAGCAGAGCCACCAUGACAGCAGACACAUCCUCCAACACAGCCUACAUGCAGCUGAGCAGUCUGAGUUUUGAGAAUACUGCUGUGUACUACUGUGCAAGAGACACAGUGAGGACAAGUGAGGGUGAGCACAGGCAAAAACCUCCCAGCAUGGAAAACAGAAGUUGUUGAAGUUGGUGCUCAUAACCAGCAGAGGGCGAGCUGAUCACAUGGGCACACAGAUUUCCUCCAGAAAUAGGUGCAGCUGGACAUUUAGGGCUGUUUCUUUUUCUCUUUCUUUCUUUUUUUCUUUCUUUCUUUCUUUUUUUUUUCCUGCCAGAGUAAGGAAGUUCCUUUCCAGCUGUCAGUUACUUAGAAUUUUAUAUUUUAAGUGCUGUGACUACCGGCCA